rnacentral:rRNA from 1 species
GGAUUAGAUACCCUGGUAGUCCACGCCGUAAACGAUGUCUACUAGCCGUUGGGGAACUUGAUUCUUUAGUGGCGCAGCUAACGCAAUAAGUAGACCGCCUGGGGAGUACGGCCGCAAGGUUAAAACUCAAAUGAAUUGACGGGGGCCCGCACAAGCGGUGGAGCAUGUGGUUUAAUUCGAUGCAACGCGAAGAACCUUACCAGGCCUUGACAUCCUGAGAACUUUGUAGAGAUACAUUGGUGCCUUCGGGAACUCAGUGACAGGUGCUGCAUGGCUGUCGUCAGCUCGUGCUG